CCUACGGGAGGCUGCAGUGAGGAAUAUUGGUCAAUGGGCGAGAGCCUGAACCAGCCAAGUCGCGUGAGGGAGUACUGCCCUAUGGGUUGUAAACCUCUUUUGUCGGGGAGCAAAAGCCGGACGUGUCCGGCUGUGAGAGUACCCGAAGAAAAAGCAUCGGCAAACUCCGUGCCAGCAGCCGCGGUAAUACGGAGGAUGCGAGCGUUAGCCGGUUUUAUUGGGUUUAAAGGGUGCGCAGGCGGGUUUUUAAGUCAGCGGGAAAAUCGUGGGGCUCAACCCCAUCGAGCCGUUGAAACUGGGGAUCUAGAGUGUGCGAGAGGUAUGCGGAAUGCGUGGUGUAGCGGUGAAAUGCAUAGAUAUCACGCAGAACCCCGAUUGCGAAGGCAGCAUACCGGUGCACAACUGACGCUCAGGCACGAAAGCGUGGGUAUCGAACAGGAUUAGAUACCCGGGUAGUC
rnacentral:rRNA from 1 species